AAUAGCACACAUCCCAAGGAGAAAGGUACGUCAUUUAUUAUUGUUUACCUAUCAGAGUGCUGAUCACCCGCUUUACUGACUUGAGCGUUGCAGUGCCUUCGCAGGUACCCCCACCAUUCGGUGUUCACCCGAGACCGAGUGCCGAAGAAGAAGCAAGAGGACGAGAAGAACCUCAGUUCAUCACCCAACAACCUGACCGAAGGAAGAAGAAGAAGACUUCAAUAGUUCUCUAAGUCUCUUCUCCUUAGUAGGAACAGUUUUUCCCUUUUCUUUUUCAAGGCUCAUAACAAAAUGUAACCAUUGGGUGUGAACGGGAAG
rnacentral:lncRNA from 1 species